CCUACGGGAGGCAGCAGUGAGGAAUAUUGGUCAAUGGACGAGAGUCUGAACCAGCCAAGCAGCGUGAAGGAUGACUGCCCUAUGGGUUGUAAACUUCUUUUAUAUGGGAAUAAAAUGUUCCACGUGUGGGAUUUUGUAUGUACCAUAUGAAUAAGGAUCGGCUAACUCCGUGCCAGCAGCCGCGGUAAUACGGAGGCUCCGAGCGUUAUCCGGAUUUAUUGGGUUUAAAGGGAGCGUAGGUGGAUUGUUAAGUCAGUUGUGAAAGUUUGCGGCUCAACCGUAAAAUUGCAGUUGAAACUGGCAGUCUUGAGUACAGUAGAGGUGAGCGGAAUUCGUGGUGUAGCGGUGAAAUGCUUAGAUAUCACGAAGAACUCCGAUUGCGAAGGCAGUUCACUGGACUGCAACUGACACUGAGGCUCGAAAGUGUGGGUAUCAAACAGGAUUAGAUACCCGAGUAGUC
rnacentral:rRNA from 1 species